ACCCUCCCGACCUGGCAGACGCUGGGACCGAACCCGCCUCCUCGCAGUGAGCGGUCCCGGAAGCCCCGGCUCAAGGGUCCAAUCACCGGAAGUGUCGCCUAGGGCGGCCGGGAGAGGGAAGAAUCGAGUAUUGAGUAUUUGUGAAUUAGAGACCUUGUGGAGCCAAAAGGAAAAGUCGUUGAGUUCUUGUUAUGGUUUGGAAGUGCCAAGUAAAACAUCGAUAUAUAUAUAUACGAUGCUGGAAAUUUGUAAACACAAACUGCUAAUGAAUGAAAGGCUUGAAACAGAUAUGUUUUUGAAGUUACCAGUAAAGUAACUGUGAAAGCACGGGAAUCAAGAAGACUGAUGGAAAACCAC
rnacentral:lncRNA from 1 species